rnacentral:sRNA from 1 species
ACUGAGUUGAACUACAAGUAGGGUUGUUGUUUAAGCAUAGUAAAACAGUGUUGCUCGCUCGCUCGCUCGUCGGAAAGUGUUGUAAAGUGGAAAACAGCAAAAAUACCAAAUAUUCAACAAAAAAAAAAGAAGAAACACAAAAAAGUUUGAAGACACACACACACACAAAUGUAUAACGCGGCGCGCUAAACAACAGAUAUUUUUAAAGGUCGUUGUUGUCGUCGUCGUCUCCAUUGCUUCAGCUGCUUCUUCUUCAUUUUGCGUGCUACCAUCGUAGUUUUUAGUCUUUGUCGUCUCAUUGUUGUGUCUCGAAAGCAAAAGAAUUCCAUUGCAAAAAAAAAAGUUUACAAAAAAAAAGUAUAAAUAAAUUAAAAAAUUAUUUUUAUUAUAAAAAAUAAAUUUUCUUAAAAAAUCAAAAAAAACACCAAAAAGCAAAGUGAAAUACAAAGUGCAAAAGGAAAAUUGAUUUAUAAAAGCCAAACAAGGUUCGCUUUAAUUCUCCAACUUCAAAAGUCUAGCAAGUUGUGCAAAAAAAAUAAAUAAUAAAAAGAACGGAACAGAACAUUCAAUCAACACCCCACCCAACAACCAACCAACCCACUAUCCCAUAUAACCACACAAGUGUAUCGCCCAAGUAUCAGCAGUUGUAGCAGCAGCAGACAGCAGCUUCAGAAAGCAAUCAAAGCAUUCUCUUCAUACCUCUACGAAAGUGCCAACCAAACAAAUAACUUGUAUUUAUUUUUUGUUUUUGUUGUUCUUGUCUGCCAUCAUAGUCUUGUCUUUGCAAAACCCCCCCUCCCACCCCCACAACAAAACUCCCCUCGGCAAACACCCGAGGAAAUAAAAACACAAAUCAAACAUACCAACCAAGCAGUCAACCCAGCAACCAAUAACAACAACAGCAGCAGCAGUAGAGUAUUUAUCUAGUUUUUCUAAAACUCUGUGUGUGUGCUCUUGAUUUAACUCUCCCGCCGUUGCCGUCGUCGCAUCAACCACAACACCAACUUUCAUCAAAACAUCUUCGUCAACAUCUUCAGUCGUUGGCAUUUGGCAGCGACAUCGUCAUCAUCGUUAACCGUUAACGCCGCCGUCGCCGUCACAGUAGUUGUGUACGUUGUUGUUUUUGUUAAAUAGUUGUUUGAAUUUUAAAUCGUGGCAUCUCAAGAAACAACGGCAUACCGAAAGAAAACGUGAAAAGUAACCGCAAAAACAUAGCUCCCAGUUGCCCCAAAACAAAAACAAGUGUUUCACUCUCUCUCUCUCUCUCACGCUCUCUGUUUGAUAAGCUCUGUUGUUAUUCUCUGGCCCCCCCCCCCCCAUGCUGGCAUAGUGUCGCAAACUCUCCUUAGCAGAA